CAUUAUGCUGUUGCUGGUCUCUAUUCCGUUUUAAAUCUAAGUAAACUUGCAGGUGAAUGAAGUCUGUUUGGUCAUUGUCAAUCUGAAUAUGAAUCUUAACCUAUGACCACUGCUGCUGGUGAAUCAAAGUGAGCAUCGCCAUCAUAAGGCUAAAAAUUCACAGACAGGGUGCUUCCCUUAGAGCAGCACCUGAGUCAAUGGAGUAGAACAGAAUUUUGCAACAUACCUGGGAUGAACAGGCACCAUGAAGAUGUGUGUGUGGCCUGGGAUCUGAGUUGAGCCUACACCGUAACUUCUCCUAUCUUAUGUGUACACAUGGUACCUGUUGCACCAAAUCUUAAUUUUGAUCGUGACAUUCAAAGUUCCUGCCACUGUCGCUGAACAUCAGGAGGUAGCUGGUCACCCAGUUGGAGCUCCCGUAUCCCCCCUGGGUGGCCACAGCGGUGGUCUCCAUUCUCUCUCCAAGGUCAAUCUGCAACCACUGGUAUUUGUUUGACACAAGUGGAGACCAGCCACCAGCUCCUUUUAUGCAAACAGAAACAGAAGAAAAUGGGCAAAAGAUUCAUUACAAAUCUGUAUUAUAACUCCCUGACACUGGGAAGAACCAAGGAUCUUAUCGAAAGUUUAAAGUACUUAAUCUGACAGGUAGACAUUCCUGUCUACACUUGGAACUAGCAGGUUUGCUGCCCACACAUGAUCAGCAUUUUGACACUCCUUGAUAGAACAGUAUUUAAAAAGUGAACACAUGAGAGGAGCACAGUGAGGAAAAAAGAAUCAGCAGGACUCUGGUGAGUUAAAAUUGGAUCAUCAAUUCUCAUCAGGAGAAAGAGGUAUCUCUCACUGACCACUCCCUCUUCCCAGCACCGCUCACUGUUACAGCUGCACUACCCGACUUGAAACAUUCGCAGUUAAUUGACCUUGAACAUUUCAAUUUCUCACCUGCAGUGAAAAGAACACUCUGGAAUCUUGGCACUGCCUCCCCUGGUCCCAGGGAGUUACAGGGAUGAACGCGUCACCUGAGCCAGGCCAAUGGAGCAAUUCCAGGAUUCUGUUGGAGAAGAAGAGACCCUGUUUUCUGCUCCAAAGCCAAAAGGAUGGGACUCACGCAUCCAAGUGCAGAAGCUGUCUUUGUGGAAAGCCUGCCCGAGUGAAGCCAACACAGAGGGAAGCGGAGGUGGAAGAUGAAGCGAGACCAAGUUCUGCUGGCACAGUCAGCACCCCUGAGUCCAGCUGUGCCUGCAGGCCAUUCCCUGUGCCUUCCAGUUCUAUGAGCCAUGAGUUAACCCCUUCACUCACGCUGAACCCGCUUGGGGCCACUGCUUCAGCAAUUCUCCUCUUUCUCCACCUCAUUUUUUUUCCUCUUGAAUGGACCAUUCCUAUGGAUAUACAAGCAUGAUAUCAU